UACAGAGGUCUCAAGCGUUGUUCGGAUUCAUUGGGCGUAAAGGGCGCGUAGGCGGCACAGCAAGUCGGGAGUGAAAGCCCGGGGCUCAACCCCGGAACGUCUUUCGAAACUGCUGAGCUCGAGUGCGGAAGAGGCAACUGGAAUUCCCAGUGUAGCGGUGAAAUGCGUAGAUAUUGGGAAGAACACCUGAGGCGAAGGCGGCUAACUGGUCCGGUACUGACGCUGAGGUGCGAAAGCGUGGGGAGCAAACAGG
rnacentral:rRNA from 1 species